GACGAACGCUGGCGGCGUGCUUAACACAUGCAAGUCGAACGGAAAGGCCCUGCUUUUGUGGGGUGCUCGAGUGGCGAACGGGUGAGUAACACGUGAGUAACCUGCCCUUGACUUUGGGAUAACUUCAGGAAACUGGGGCUAAUACCGGAUAGGAGCUCCUGCUGCAUGGUGGGGGUUGGAAAGUUUCGGCGGUUGGGGAUGGACUCGCGGCUUAUCAGCUUGUUGGUGGGGUAGUGGCUUACCAAGGCUUUGACGGGUAGCCGGCCUGAGAGGGUGACCGGCCACAUUGGGACUGAGAUACGGCCCAGACUCCUACGGGAGGCAGCAGUGGGGAAUAUUGCACAAUGGGCGGAAGCCUGAUGCAGCAACGCCGCGUGCGGGAUGACGGCCUUCGGGUUGUAAACCGCUUUCGCCUGUGACGAAGCGUGAGUGACGGUAAUGGGUAAAGAAGCACCGGCUAACUACGUGCCAGCAGCCGCGGUGAUACGUAGGGUGCGAGCGUUGUCCGGAUUUAUUGGGCGUAAAGGGCUCGUAGGUGGUUGAUCGCGUCGGAAGUGUAAUCUUGGGGCUUAACCCUGAGCGUGCUUUCGAUACGGGUUGACUUGAGGAAGGUAGGGGAGAAUGGAAUUCCUGGUGGAGCGGUGGAAUGCGCAGAUAUCAGGAGGAACACCAGUGGCGAAGGCGGUUCUCUGGGCCUUUCCUGACGCUGAGGAGCGAAAGCGUGGGGAGCGAACAGGCUUAGAUACCCUGGUAGUCCACGCUGUAAACGGUGGGUACUAGGUGUGGGGUCCAUUCCACGGGUUCCGUGCCGUAGCUAACGCUUUAAGUACCCCGCCUGGGGAGUACGGCCGCAAGGCUAAAACUCAAAGGAAUUGACGGGGCCCCGCACAAGCGGCGGAGCAUGCGGAUUAAUUCGAUGCAACGCGUAGAACCUUACCUGGGUUUGACAUGGAUCGGGAGUGCUCAGAGAUGGGUGUGCCUCUUUUGGGGUCGGUUCACAGGUGGUGCAUGGCUGUCGUCCGCUCGUGUCGUGAGAUGUUGGGUUAAGUCCCGCAACGAGCGCAACCCUUGUUCACUGUUGCCAGCACGUUAUGGUGGGGACUCAGUGGAGACCGCCGGGGUCAACUCGGAGGAAGGUGGGGAUGACGUCAAGUCAUCAUGCCCCUUAUGUCCAGGGCUUCACGCAUGCUACAAUGGCUGGUACAGAGAGUGGCGAGCCUGUGAGGGUGAGCGAAUCUCGGAAAGCCGGUCUCAGUUCGGAUUGGGGUCUGCAACUCGACCUCAUGAAGUCGGAGUCGCUAGUAAUCGCAGAUCAGCAACGCUGCGGUGAAUACGUUCCCGGGGCU
rnacentral:rRNA from 1 species